rnacentral:rRNA from 1 species
CACUGACAUUAGAUACCCGGGUAGUCCCAGCCGUAAACUAUGCGCGUUAGGUGUAUCGGUGACCACGAGUCACCGAGGUGCCGAAGGGAAACCGUGAAACGUGCCGCCUGGGAAGUACGGUCGCAAGGCUGAAACUUAAAGGAAUUGGCGGGGGAGCACAACAACGGGUGGAGCCUGCGGUUUAAUUGGACUCAACGCCGGACAACUCACCGGGGACGACAGCAAUAUGUAGGCCAGGCUGAAGACCUUGCCUGAAUCGCUG